UUGACGGUGUGCUCCCAGGUCGGCGGCUCCUCGCCCUCCGGCGUCCCGAGGAGGGCCUGCUCGCCGAAGAAGUCGCCGUUCGCGAGCGUCCCGAGGACGGCGUCGGAGCCGUACUCGCCGGCGCCGAUCCUGCUGAGCUUGCCGUGCGCGACGAGGACGACGCGGUCGACGGGGCGCCCCCGUUCGACGACGACGUCACCGGGCGCGUACUCCUGCUGGGUGAAGCGUCCCGCGAUGGCGUCCAGGGUCAGGUCGUCGUCGUAGCCCCGCAGCGGGGCCAGCUCGCCGAGCUCGCGCGGGAUCACGCGGACGUCGGCGCCGGUGGUCACGAAGGUGACCCGGCCGUCGCCCAGCGUGUAGGUGAGCCGCCGGUUGACGCGGUAGGUGCCGCCGGAAGCCUGCACCCAGGGCAGCAGCUUCAGCAACCACCGCGACGUGAUGCCCUGCAUCUGCGGGACGGACUUGGUCGUGGUCGCCAGGUUCCGCGCGGCCGCGGUGCCGAGGCUCAACUGGUGGUCCUGUUGC
rnacentral:antisense_RNA from 1 species